AAGUCGAACAAGGUUUCCGUAACCUGCGGAAGGAUCAUUAACACGUAUCCAACGUUAAAACCCCCCGUGAACCUUCAGUGUGCUCGUACGCUUUGUUAGAAAGUAGCAAUCCCUGGUAAAAUCGCCGAACAGUUUUGAUUCAGGGACUUCUGCGAAGAGUGUGCUUGUAGCGCGAUGUCUGAAAGUGUCAAGGGUGGCGCAGUCACGAUCGCUAGAGGCCGACACGGCCGGCGACCGGGUCCGGGCUCACGCCCUUAAUUACCUUUGCAUGAAAACGGGCCUGCGCUUAAUUGUGCGGCCAUAAACCGAACAACUGUUAACAAUGGAUAUCUUGGUUCUC
rnacentral:misc_RNA from 1 species